GUGCCAGCCGCCGCGGUAAUACCGGCAGCCCGAGUGAUGGCCGCUGUUAUUGGGCCUAAAGCGUCCGUAGCCGACCGAACAAGUCUGUCGGGAAAUCCAUCUGCCUAACAGAUGGGCGUCCGGCAGAAACUGUUCGGCUUGGGGCCGGAAGAUCCGAGGGGUACGUCCGGGGUAGGAGUGAAAUCCCGUAAUCCUGGACGGACCGCCGGUGGCGAAAGCACUUCGAGAAAACGGAUCCGACAGUGAGGGACGAAAGCCAGGGUCUCCAACCGGAUUAGAAACCCCGGUAGUCC
rnacentral:rRNA from 1 species